UAUGGUCAAGCUACUAAGGGCCGGCGGUGGAUGCCUUGGCAUCGGGAGGCGAUGAAGGACGUGGUAAGCUGCGAUAAGCCUCGGGGAGCCGCAAACAGGCUUUGAUCCGGGGAUCUCCGAAUGGGGCAACCCGCCACGCGUUAUGGCGUGGCAUCUGCAACUGAAUCCAUAGGUUGCAGAGGCGAACCAGGGGAAGUGAAACAUCUCAGUACCCUGAGGAAAAGAAAGCAACAGCGAUUCCCAAAGUAGCGGCGAGCGAAAUGGGAGCAGCCCAAACCGGAGGGCUUGCCCUCCGGGGUUGUGGGACCGCGACGUGGGACGUAGACGGCUAGCGGAACAGGCUGGAAAGCCUGGCCAGAGAAGGUGAUAGCCCUGUACGCGAAAGCCUGAAGCGCCCUAGCGGGAUCCCGAGUACCACGGGACACGUGAAACCCUGUGGGAAUCUGGGAGGACCAUCUCCCAAGGCUAAAUACUACCCGAUGACCGAUAGUGAACCAGUACCGUGAGGGAAAGGUGAAAAGUACCCCGGUGAGGGGAGUGAAAUAGUACCUGAAACCGUCGGCCUACAAGCGGUCGGAGUUCCGCCUCGGCGGAAUGACGGCGUGCCUUUUGCAUAAUGAGUCAGCGAGUUACUCUCUGUGGCGAGGUUAAGCCGCGAGGUGGAGCCGUAGCGAAAGCGAGUCUGAACAGGGCGUCCAGUCGCAGGGAGUAGACCCGAAGCCGGGUGAUCUAUCCAUGGCCAGGGUGAAGGUGGAGUAACAUCCACUGAAGGCCCGAACCAAUAUCGGUUGAAAACGGUUUGGAUGAGCUGUGGAUAGGAGUGAAAGGCUAAUCAAACUCGGUGAUAGCUGGUUCUCCCCGAAAUAUAUUGAGGUAUAGCCUCGGAUGCUGAGCAACGGAGGUAGAGCACUGGAAGGGCUAGGGGCCCCACCAGGUUACCAAACCUUACCAAACUCCGAAUGCCGUUGUGUGUAGUCCGGGAGUCAGUCCGCGGGUGAUAAGAUCCGCGGUCGAGAGGGAAACAACCCAGACCGCCAGCUAAGGCCCCCAAAUAUGCGCUAAGUGGUAAAGGUGGUGGGAACGCUCUGACAACCAGGAGGUUGGCUUAGAAGCAGCCACCCUUUAAAGAAAGCGUAACAGCUCACUGGUCAAGUGGGCCUGCGCCGAAAAUUCAGCGGGGCUCAAGCGCAUUGCCGAAGCUGCGGGAUUCGCCACACUCCGGUGUGACGGAUCGGUAGGGGAGCAUUCCAGUCGCCUGUGAAGGUCGGCCGCGAGGCCGGCUGGAGGUCCUGGAAGGGCGUAUGCUGACACGAGUAGCGAAAAAGCGGGUGAGAAUCCCGCUCGCCGAAAGCCUAAGGUUUCCUGAGUAAAGCUCGUCUUCUCAGGGUUAGUCGGCCCCUAAGCCGAGGCCGAAAGGCGUAGGUGAUGGGAAACAGGUUAAUAUUCCUGUACCUCCAGCGUGGCGUUUGAGCGAAGGGGGGACGGAGAAGGGUAGGCCAUCCGGGCGCUGGUUGUCCCGGUUCAAGGCCGUAGGCGGAGGCUCCAGGCAAAUCCGGAGCCUCGUUAACGCCGAGAGCUGAUGACGUGGCCCUUUUGGGCCGUAAGUGGCUGAUCCCAUGCUUCCAAGAAAAGCCUCGUAGCGAGUCGCGUUGGAGACCGUACCGCAAACCGACACAGGUAGGCAGGGUGAGAAUCCUAAGGCGCGUGAGAUAACCCUGGUUAAGGAACUCGGCAAAAUGGCCCCGUAACUUCGGGAGAAGGGGUGCCCACGUCAGGUGAAGGCCCUCGCGGCCGGAGCCGAGGUGGGUCGCAGUGAAAUGGGGGUGGCGACUGUUUACUAAAAACAUAGGACUCUGCGAAGCCGAAAGGCGAUGUAUAGGGUCUGACGCCUGCCCGGUGCCGGAAGGUUAAGGGGAUGUGUUAGCUUUCGGGCGAAGCACUGAACCGAAGCCCCGGUAAACGGCGGCCGUAACUAUAACGGUCCUAAGGUAGCGAAAUUCCUUGUCGGGUAAGUUCCGACCUGCACGAAUGGCGUAACGACUGCCCCACUGUCUCGACCAGGGACUCAGUGAAACUGUAGUAUCGGUGAAGAUGCCGAUUACCCGCGGCUAGACGGAAAGACCCCGUGAACCUUUACUACAGCUUGGCAUUGGGUUUUGGGAUAGCUUGUGUAGGAUAGGUGGGAGACUGUGAAGCCACGCCGCCAGGUGUGGUGGAGUCGCCCUUGAAAUACCACCCUGGCUAUUCUAGGAUCCUAACCUCGGCCCGUCAUCCGGGUCAGGGACAGUGCCUGGCGGGUAGUUUGACUGGGGCGGUCGCCUCCCAAAAGGUAACGGAGGCGCGCGAAGGUUCCCUCAGGCUGAUUGGAAACCAGCCGAAGAGUGCAAAGGCAUAAGGGAGCUUGACUGCGAGACCCACAAGUCGAGCAGGUGCGAAAGCAGGCCUUAGUGAUCCGGUGGUCCCGCAUGGAAGGGCCAUCGCUCAUCGGACAAAAGGUACUCCGGGGAUAACAGGCUGAUCUUCCCCAAGAGUUCACAUCGACGGGAAGGUUUGGCACCUCGAUGUCGGCUCAUCGCAUCCUGGGGCUGAAGCAGGUCCCAAGGGUUUGGCUGUUCGCCAAUUAAAGCGGUACGCGAGCUGGGUUUAAAACGUCGUGAGACAGUUUGGUCCCUAUCUACCGCGGGCGCAGGAGAUUUGAGGGGAGCUGUCCCUAGUACGAGAGGACCGGGAUGGACGAACCUACGGUGUUCCAGUUAUCACGCCAGUGGUAUCGCUGGGUAGCCGUGUUCGGAUGGGAUAACCGCUGAAAGCAUCUAAGUGGGAAGCCCACCCCAAGAUGAGAUCUCCCGGGCGUAAGCCCCUGAAGCCCCCUCGGAGAACACGAGGUUGAUAGGUCGGAGGUGUAAGGCUGGUGACAGCCUGAGCCGACCGAUACUAAUCGGGCGUGAGGCUUGACCAU
rnacentral:rRNA from 1 species